UACGUAGGGGGCGAGCGUUGUCCGGAUUUAUUGGGCGUAAAGAGCUCGUAGGCGGUUUGGUAAGUCGGGUGUGAAACCUCCAGGCUCAACCUGGAGACGCCACCUGAUACUGCUGUGGCUAGAGUCCGGUAGGGGAACACGGAAUACCCGGUGUAGCGGUGAAAUGCUUAGAUAUCGGGUGGAACACCAGUGGCGAAGGCGGUGUUCUGGGCCGGAACUGACGCUGAGGAGCGAAAGCGUGGGUAGCAAACAGG
rnacentral:rRNA from 1 species